rnacentral:rRNA from 1 species
UAGAGUUUGAUCAUGGCUCAGGAUAAACGCUGGCGGCGUGCCUAAUGCAUGCAAGUCGAACGGUUUAAGUUCUUCGGGACUUAAAUAGUGGCAAACGGGUGAGUAACACGUGGGAAUCUGCCCAAUAGUGGGGAACAACUCCUCGAAAGAGGAGCUAAUACCGCAUACGGUCUCUCUGUGAAAAGGGAAGACGAAAGCUUCGUGCAAACGAGGCGCUGUUGGAGGAGCCUGCGGCUGAUUAGCUAGUUGGUGGGGUAAAAGCCUACCAAGGCGAUGAUCAGUAGCUGGUCUGAGAGGAUGGACAGCCACACUGGGACUGAGAUACGGCCCAGACUCCUACGGGAGGCAGCAGCAAGGAAUUUUCGUCAAUGGGGGCAACCCUGAACGAGCAACGCCGCGUGGGUGAAGAAGUCUUUCGGGAUGUAAAACCCUUUUCUUGUGGGAAGAAGGAAAGACGGUACCACCAGGAAUAAGCAUCGACUAACUACGUACCAGCAGCCGCGGUAAUACGUAGGAUGCAAGCGUUGUCCGGAAUUAUUGGGCGUAAAGGGUGCGCAGGCGGUCUAUCAAGUCAGAUGUAAAAUCUCCCGGCUUAACCGGGAGGGGCCAUUUGAAACUGGCAGACUGGAGUGCAGGAGAGGAUAGCGGAAUUCCCGGUGUAGUGGUGAAAUGCGUAGAUAUCGGGAGGAACACCAGAGGCGAAGGCGGCUAUCUGGCCUGCAACUGACGCUGAGGCACGAAGGCUAGGGGAGCGAACAGGAUUAGAUACCCUGGUAGUCCUAGCAGUAAACGAUGAACACUAGGUGUUGGGGGAAAUUGACCCCCUCAGUGCCGUAACUAACGUAAUAAGUGUUCCGCCUGGGGAGUACGGUCGCAAGAUUAAAACUCAAAGGAAUUGACGGGGGCCCGCACAAGCAGCGGAGCGUGUGGUUUAAUUCGACGCAACGCGAAGAACCUUACCAGGGCUUGACAUGCUAUGUUCAGUAGGGGAAACCUUAUGGCCGCAAGGCGAAUAGCACAGAUGCUGCAUGGCUGUCGUCAGCUCGUGUCGUGAGUGUUGGGUUAAGUCCCGCAACGAGCGCAACCCCUGUUCCUAGUUGCAAGAUCUAGGGAGACUGCCGGUAGAAAACCGGAGGAAGGUGGGGAUGACGUCAAGUCAGCAUGGCUCUUACGUCCUGGGCUACACACACGCUACAAUGGGCGGUACAAAGGGAAGCCAAGCCGCGAGGCGGAGCAAAUCCCAAAAAGCCGUUCUCAGUUCGGAUAGCAGGCUGCAACUCGCCUGCUUGAAGUCGGAGUUGCUAGUAACCGUGGGUCAGCACACUACGGUGAAUAUGUUCCCGGGCCUUGUACACACCGCCCGUCACGUCAUGGAAGCUGGUAAGACCUGAAGCCGGUGGGCUAACCGGUUAGCGCAAGCUAGCUGGAGGCAGCUGUCGAGGGUGGGACUAGUGACUGGGACGAAGUCGUAACAAGGUAACCGUA